GGCGGCAUAGCCAAGUGGCUAAGGAAGCGGUCUGCAAAACCAUUAUUCACUGCUACGAAUACGGUUGCCGCCUCCA
rnacentral:tRNA from 1 species